rnacentral:rRNA from 1 species
GACGAACGCUGGCGGCGUGCUUAACACAUGCAAGUCGAACGGAAAGGCCCUGCUUUUGUGGGGUGCUUGAGUGGCGAACGGGUGAGUAACACGUGAGUAACCUGCCCUUGACUUUGGGAUAACUUUAGGAAACUGGGGCUAAUACCGGAUAGGAGCUCCUGCUGCAUGGUGGGGGUUGGAAAGUUUCGGCGGUUGGGGAUGGACUCGCGGCUUAUCAGCUUGUUGGUGGGGUAGUGGCUUACCAAGGCUUUGACGGGUAGCCGGCCUGAGAGGGUGACCGGCCACAUUGGGACUGCGGUACGGCCCAGACUCCUACGGGAGGCAGCAGUGGGGAAUAUUGCGCAAUGGGCGGAAGCCUGAUGCAGCGACGCCGCGUGCGGGAUGACGGCCUUCGGGUUGUAAACCGCUUUCGCCUGUGACGAAGCGUGAGUGACGGUAAUGGGUAAAGAAGCACCGGCUAACUACGUG